CCUACGGGUGGCAGCAGUGGGGAAUAUUGGACAAUGGGGGGAACCCUGAUCCAGCCAUGCCGCGUGUGUGAAGAAGGCCCUCGGGUUGUAAAGCACUUUCAGUGAGGAAGAACGCCUGGUGGUUAAUACCCAUCAGGAAAGACAUCACUCACAGAAGAAGCACCGGCUAACUCCGUGCCAGCAGCCGCGGUAAUACGGAGGGUGCGAGCGUUAAUCGGAAUUACUGGGCGUAAAGCGCGCGUAGGUGGCUUGAUAAGCCGGUUGUGAAAGCCCCGGGCUCAACCUGGGAACGGCAUCCGGAACUGUCAAGCUAGAGUGCAGGAGAGGAAGGUAGAAUUCCCGGUGUAGCGGUGAAAUUCGUAGAGAUCGGGAGGAAUACCAGUGGCGAAGGCGGCCUUCUGGACUGACACUGACACUGAGGUGCGAAAGCGUGGGUAACAAACAGGAUUAGAUACCCCUGUAGUC
rnacentral:rRNA from 1 species